rnacentral:rRNA from 1 species
AUGUCUCUAAUCCGAAUAGCUUUUUCUUUGGUCCUCCUCCUCGCCGCGGCGGAGUCCGCGGCGGCGACGCGUUCACCGUCGGCCUUCGUGCAGAACGCUAUCUACUCCAACCGCAUCACCAUCUUCUCCAAAUCCUACUGCCCGUACUGUAUGCGUGCUAAGCGAAUAUUUAAAGACCUCAAUGAAGAUCCUUACGUUGUUGAACUUGAUCUCCGAGAGGAUGGCCGAGAAAUUCAAGGUGUUCUUCUAGACCUAGUUGGGCGCAAUACUGUGCCACAGGUGUUUGUGUAUGGCCACCACGUUGGUGGCUCAGAUGAUACAAAAACUGCUCUUUCAGACGGACAACUUCAGAAGCUUCUUGGUAAGAGUCAGUCGCAGUGA